rnacentral:rRNA from 1 species
UCGAGGGGCAGCAUGAAGUUUGCUUGCAAACUUUGAUGGCGACCGACGCACGGGUGAGUAACGCGUAUCCAACCUUCCCUAUAGUAGAGAAUAGCCCGGCGAAAGUCGGAUUAAUGCUCUAUGUUAUUCAAAGCGGACAUCUAAUUUGAAUCAAAGGUUCACCGCUAUAGGAUGGGGAUGCGUCUGAUUAGCUUGAUGGCGGGGUAACGGCCCACCAUGGCGACGAUCAGUAGGGGUUCUGAGAGGAAGGUCCCCCACAUUGGAACUGAGACACGGUCCAAACUCCUACGGGAGGCAGCAGUGAGGAAUAUUGGUCAAUGGGCGAGAGCCUGAACCAGCCAAGUAGCGUGCAGGAUGACGGCCCUAUGGGUUGUAAACUGCUUUUAUGCGGGGAUAAAGUCGGCUACGCGUAGCCGUUUGUAGGUACCGCAUGAAUAAGGACCGGCUAAUUCCGUGCCAGCAGCCGCGGUAAUACGGAAGGUCCGGGCGUUAUCCGGAUUUAUAUGGGUUUAAAGGGAGCGCAGGCCGGAGGUCAAGCGUGACGUGAAAUGUAGGGGCUCAACCUUUGAAUUGCGUCGCGAACUGGUUUCCUUGAGUGAGUACGACGUCAGCGGAAUUCGUGGUGUAGCGGUGAAAUGCUUAGAUAUCACGAAGAACCCCGAUUGCGAAGGCAGCUGACGAGUCCUUUACUGACGCUAAAGCUCGAAGGUGCGGGUAUCGAACAGGAUUAGAUACCCUGGUAGUCCGCACGGUAAACGAUGGAUGCCCGCUGUUUGCGAUAUAUUGUAAGCGGCCAAGCGAAAGCGUUAAGCAUCCCACCUGGGGAGUACGCCGGCAACGGUGAAACUCAAAGGAAUUGACGGGGGCCCGCACAAGCGGAGGAACAUGUGGUUUAAUUCGAUGAUACGCGAGGAACCUUACCCGGGCUUGAACUGCAGGAGAACGAUCCAGAGAUGGUGAGGCCCUUCGGGGCUCCUGUGGAGGUGCUGCAUGGUUGUCGUCAGCUCGUGCCGUGAGGUGUCGGCUUAAGUGCCAUAACGAGCGCAACCCCUUUCGCCAGUUGCCAUCAGGUGAUGCUGGGCACUC